UCAUUUUCGUUGUCCUCCGCUGGACUCUUCCAAUUUGUCCACAUCCCUUCUGUAGUGGAGGGACCAAAACUGGACGCAAUACUCCAGGUGUGGCCUCAACAGUGCCAAAUAGUGUGGUAUAAUCACUUCCCUCGAUCUGCUGGCAAUGCUCCUAUUAAUGCAGCCCAAUAUGACGUUGGCCUUCUUGGCAACAAAGGCACAUUGUAAACCAGGAACAAAUAACAUAUUCCUGCAAGCCUCUAACAUGGGGUGUGUUUUCCUUUUGCAGCUCACUCACUGGUGUGCUUUACCUGUAAGGAUGCAUCCUCCAACUGGGAGUGUCUGGGAUCAACUAUAUGUCAAAGUGAUGAAAACUACUGUGUGACCACGUAUGUUGGUGCAGGAAUUGGUGGACAUUCCGGGCAGAGCAUCAACAAGGGGUGUGCUUCAGUUUGCCCCAGCGGUGGGAUAAACAUAGGGAUAGCAGCCGCCUCUGUUUCCUGCUGCAGUUCUUUCUUGUGCAACACCAGUGGGGCCACCAGCGUGAAAGUCAGCUACUCGGUGCUGGCCAUGGCGAUCUUGGCCAGCUUUGUCUAUAUCAAGGCUGGACUGUGAUCGGGCCAGGAAAAAAACCCAUGAUGCCCUGAAGAACCUGCUCAAGCUUCUCCAACGAGACACCAAACCUCCCUCUGUGCAAAGCUCUACUGGGGUUACCAAUGGUGCCCUUUCUUCCAAACUCUCUCUCAGAUCCCAUUAGACAAUACCUGCCCUCUUCCCGUUCACAAGGAAAUCCCGCUGCUGUCACUGGGUGCCCCUCUGUGCCUCUCAGCAGAUCUGGAUUGCUGCUCCCAUGGUUUUGGGCGUAGCAGACCUGGGAAGCUCAACUGAAGAGUGCAGCCCCUCUGGGGAGAUGUCCGCUUGCACUCUUGACCCAUCAGGAAAUGGUGGAUAAUGUUGGCAGGGUUUCUGCUUUUAUACCUGUAGUCCCAGUUGAUGGGGCUGAUUAAAAAAAGGUCAGGGCUACCAGAAAAUGUUUAUCCCAAACCACCUUCAAAGUGGAAUACAUAAACACCCCUGCCUCUUGUUACCGCAGAGACAUUUCCCAUCCACGUCACGCUAGGGAUCAGCGCCAGACUGACUGCUGGGAAGGCAUGAUCCAAAACCAAACCUCAGAUACAUUCACCCCCGGUUGGAUUCUGUUUUUUACAUUGUUUUCUUUAUUCUGCUCCUUGUCUCACUUUUCUUAUGUAAAAUGAAUGCAGUGCUCGCACUGUGAGCAUCACAGCUGAAUAAACACCUUCCUGUUCUUGCCUGA